UACGUAGGGGGCAAGCGUUGUCCGGAUUUAUUGGGCGUAAAGAGUGUGUAGGCGGCCUGACAGGUCUGCUGUGAAAACUCGAGGCUCAACCUCGAGAUGUCGGCGGAAACCGUCUGGCUAGAGUCCGGAAGAGGAGAGUGGAAUUCCUGGUGUAGCGGUGAAAUGCGCAGAUAUCGGGAGGAACAUCAGUGGCGAAGGCGGCUACCUGGCCCAAUACUGACACUCAGGUGCGACAGCGUGGGGAGCAAACAGG
rnacentral:rRNA from 1 species